UGGCGUCCAGGAGACGGGAUCUCUGCGUCUGACUUGGCCAGGAAGUCCGUUGAAGCGGUGCCAAUGUGCGCGUGCGAGAAGCCAGUCCCUGCAGGAGCAGCAGCAGCAUGACGUUUCGGCAUCUCGGUCCGAGCAGCUGUACUUGCCGUCACCUUUCGGUCCCCGAAUGCUGCCGUGCCACGUCGCUGACGACAUCGACGGAACACUCGUUGAAGCGGCAACGCUGUCCUCGGUGCCUUCCGACCGUUCACGAAGACAUCGAGCUGGAUGCGGCGAACUGCGAAAAGCGGUCCGCAUACGAUGUGCCUUUCGCGCCCAGAGAUUCAGUGCAAAAGCUAGCGGAACGUGACGACCUUCUUGCUUCGGCGGAGCGUCUGACUACGGCGAAACAAGAUUUCUCACAAGCGCAGCGCACCGGUCAAGACCAAGGAAGCACUGAAUCCGAGCCGAACAACUAGUCAUAAGGUUUUUAGCAAUAAAUAAAAUUUCAUGUAUCCACGUCCCGUGUCCCCUCUUUUUUACGCCAUGAGCAACGGGGUCAUAUUUUUGACGAGGAAGGCGUUCGGAUAAUAAUGGUCCAACUCGUGCAGAGUCUCCCCGAGGACGGCUCUUACCGGACCAAG